rnacentral:lncRNA from 1 species
CGGAAACCGCAGACUAGAGAUCAAUAAGGAUAUUGUUAAAUAUAAAAAUGUUUAAAACACCAUUUUCUAACAGCUUAAGCUUUUAGAGUACAACAGUUAUUUUAUGGUAUCAGAGCAGGAAGUCCUGAGUUCGAGUCACGCUAGGCUCCUAGCGUAUUAAUUUCCUACCAUUUAAUUCGAGCCCACGUUAUCGGCCGACUAAAAUAUCUUGAGCCCAAACGUGAGGGGGAGUGUUAAAUAUAAAAAUGUUUAAAACACCGUUUUCUAACAGCUUAAGCGGUUGUUUCACAGAUAUCAAAACCGAACAUCUCACUUCAAAGUCGGCUCUUGAUUAUUUUUCCAAUAAACUACUAAUAUU